rnacentral:rRNA from 1 species
UGGCGAACGGGUGAGUAACGCGUGGGUAACCUGCCCUGUACACACGGAUAACAUACCGAAAGGUAUGCUAAUACGGGAUAACAUAAGAAAUUCGCAUGUUUUUCUUAUCAAAGCUCCGGCGGUACAGGAUGGACCCGCGUCUGAUUAGCUAGUUGGUGAGGUAACGGCUCACCAAGGCGACGAUCAGUAGCCGACCUGAGAGGGUGAUCGGCCACAUUGGAACUGAGACACGGUCCAAACUCCUACGGGAGGCAGCAUG